AAUAUUAUGGCAGCGGAAUUUAUUCUUGACAUUCAUUUGGAAAUACAGCAACACCCUCCCUCAGCUUCACACGAUACCAUCUGCCGCUCAACCUGCAAAAGGUUUUGAAAACAAUUGCAGGGCUGAGUACUAGUAUACUCAGUGGGUUUAGCCAUUUGAAAACAUUUGAAAAAAAAUCCAUUUAAAAGAAUAAUCCAUGCUAUGAACAGUAUAACAUAGAAAUAUUUGAAAGCAUUCCAUGCAUACAUAAAAUAAAUUGUGGAUCCAUUUUCAGUCUUCUCUCAAUUGGUGCUUCACCUAUAAUGUGAACAUGUGGGAGCAGCCCACAGAGGUCCACUACCAUGCAUGUUUCAGAAAUGGGAGCAGCCCAAGUCUGACAGUCUGAGGCAAGUGGGAGCAGCCCACAAUACCCCCUUGUGUGUACACAAUCCUAACCAGGGCGAUCCAAUCGCUACGCCGGCUAGGACCCGAUCGUUAGAGAACAUAGGAGCACUUUAAACAAUAGAGAGAUAAAAUCAUUUUAACAUGGACAUUCAUUUGCAUUUGCAUAAAAACAAUUUAGAGCUCAAUAACUCAAAACAUACAUUGGAAAAUAAAAACCCAGCUUGAUAACAAGCCUGUAGAUAAAACUUGCGCAAUUCUCUUCUUGUAAAAUCAGUGCUAAAGCCUUCUAUCAAGUGGACCUACAAGAUAAUCUAAUCUUAAUAGGCCUUAAAAUAUCGCAUGAGCUAACGAUUCUACAAAGCUGCUAAAUCUUAAUAUUCUGCGCCCGGAUUUUCAAAACUCAAUUGAAAAUCUUGAAAAUCGAAAUUAUCAAAAUACUUUUAUUGCAUUAUUCAGUAUGCAAAUUCAUAUCAUAUCUCAAAAUCACAUAAAGUAAAUAACUACACUUAAAAAAAAUGCAGCUGAACUCUUUAAUAAAAUAAGGCCCAUCUUAAAAAAAAGUAAUAGGCCCAAAAUAAAUAAGUAAACCCCCCCCCCCCUUACUUUCUCCCUCAC
rnacentral:lncRNA from 1 species